rnacentral:rRNA from 1 species
AGCGAACGCUGGCGGCAGGCCUAACACAUGCAAGUCGAACGAACUCUUCGGAGUUAGUGGCGGACGGGUGAGUAACACGUGGGAACGUGCCUUUUGGUUCGGAAUAACUCAGGGAAACUUGUGCUAAUACCGAAUGUGCCCUUCGGGGAAAGGAUUUAUCGCCAUUAGAGCGGCCCGCGUCUGAUUAGCUAGUUGGUGAGGUAACGGCUCACCAAGGCGACGAUCAGUAGCUGGUCUGAGAGGAUGAUCAGCCACACUGGGACUGAGACACGGCCCAGACUCCUACGGGAGGCAGCAGUGGGGAAUCUUGCGCAAUGGGCGAAAGCCUGACGCAGCCAUGCCGCGUGAAUGAUGAAGGUCUUAGGAUUGUAAAAUUCUUUCACCGGGGACGAUAAUGACGGUACCCGGAGAAGAAGCCCCGGCUAACUACGUG